GAAUAAGGCAAGGGGGGCUGGAGAGGCUGGCUGAGAUAUAGAUCUGAUAAAAUCUAUGACCCUGUAACCUGAUCUGGGUAAUGCCAGCGGAGGGAUAGCGAUAGAGUUUUUG
rnacentral:ncRNA from 2 species